AACGAACGCUGGCGGCAGGCCUAACACAUGCAAGUCGAGCGAGGACUUCGGUCCUAGCGGCGGACGGGUGAGUAACGCGUGGGAACGUUCCCUUUGCUUCGGAAUACCUCUGGGAAACUGGGAGUAAUACCGGAUGAGCCCUUUGGGGGAAAGAUUUAUCGGCGAAGGAUCGGCCCGCGUUGGAUUAGGUAGUUGGUGGGGUAAUGGCAUACCAAGCCGACGAUCCAUAGCUGGUUUGAGAGGAUGAUCAGCCACACUGGGACUGAGACACGGCCCAGAAUCCUACGGGAGGCAGCAGUGGGGGAUCUUAGACAAUGGGGGGAACCCUGAUCUAGCCAUGCCGCGUGAGCGAUGAAGGCAUUAGGGUUGUAAAGCUCUUUCAGCUGGGAAGAUAAUGACGGUACCAGCAGAAGAAGCCCCGGCUAACUACGUG
rnacentral:rRNA from 1 species